AAGUCGAGCGGAUGAAGGGAGCUUGCUCCUGGAUUCAGCGGCGGACGGGUGAGUAAUGCCUAGGAAUCUGCCUGGUAGUGGGGGAUAACGUCCGGAAACGGGCGCUAAUACCGCAUACGUCCUGAGGGAGAAAGUGGGGGAUCUUCGGACCUCACGCUAUCAGAUGAGCCUAGGUCGGAUUAGCUAGUUGGUGGGGUAAAGGCCUACCAAGGCGACGAUCCGUAACUGGUCUGAGAGGAUGAUCAGUCACACUGGAACUGAGACACGGUCCAGACUCCUACGGGAGGCAGCAGUGGGGAAUAUUGGACAAUGGGCGAAAGCCUGAUCCAGCCAUGCCGCGUGUGUGAAGAAGGUCUUCGGAUUGUAAAGCACUUUAAGUUGGGAGGAAGGGCAGUAAGUUAAUACCUUGCUGUUUUGACGUUACCAACAGAAUAAGCACCGGCUAACUUCGUGCCAGCAGCCGCGGUAAUACGAAGGGUGCAAGCGUUAAUCGGAAUUACUGGGCGUAAAGCGCGCGUAGGUGGUUCAGCAAGUUGGAUGUGAAAUCCCCGGGCUCAACCUGGGAACUGCAUCCAAAACUACUGAGCUAGAGUACGGUAGAGGGUGGUGGAAUUUCCUGUGUAGCGGUGAAAUGCGUAGAUAUAGGAAGGAACACCAGUGGCGAAGGCGACCACCUGGACUGAUACUGACACUGAGGUGCGAAAGCGUGGGGAGCAAACAGGAUUAGAUACCCUGGUAGUCCACGCCGUAAACGAUGUCGACUAGCCGUUGGGAUCCUUGAGAUCUUAGUGGCGCAGCUAACGCGAUAAGUCGACCGCCUGGGGAGUACGGCCGCAAGGUUAAAAACUCAAAUGAAUUGACGGGGGCCCGCACAAGCGGUGGA
rnacentral:rRNA from 1 species